CAUGUCCUUUUGAUUAUAAUUUAAGGUCUAAUCUGCUCAAUGAGUAAUUAAAUUGCCGCGGUAUUUUGACCGUGCAAAGGUAGCGUAAUAAUUAGUUUUUUUAUUGAAAGCUGGUAUGAAUGAUUGGACGAGAAAGCAGCUGUCUCUAUUUAAAUUUUUAUUGAAUUUAACUUUUAAGUAAAAAGGCUUAAAUUUGUUUUGAAGACGAGAAGACCCUAUAGAGUUUAAUAUAAUUUAAGAUAGGAACUGUUUGGAAUCUUCAUUUUUUAUUUUGAAUUUUGUUUAGUUGGGGUGACUUGAAGAUUAAAUAAACUCUUCUUUUUAAUAUCAUUGAUUUGUGAAUAGAUGAUCUAAUUUUUUAAAAUUUAGUUAAAAUUACCUUAGGGAUAACAGCGUAAUUUCUUUUUAUAGUUCUUAUUGAAAGAGAAGUUUGCGACCUCGAUGUUGGAUUAAAAUUUAUUUUUGGUGCAGAAGCUGAAUAAUUAGGUCUGUUCGACCUUUGAAAUUUUACAUGAUCUGAGU
rnacentral:rRNA from 1 species